rnacentral:tRNA from 1 species
GAAAAGAUAAGCUAAAGUAAGCUAUUAGGUUCAUACCCUAACUAUAGAAAUAAAUUUCUUCUUUUUA